rnacentral:rRNA from 1 species
UGAGGAAUAUUGGUCAAUGGACGAGAGUCUGAACCAGCCAAGUAGCGUGCAGGAUGACGGCCCUCCGGGUUGUAAACUGCUUUUAGUUGGGAAUAAAAAGGUGACGUGUCAUCUAUUGUAUGUACCAUCAGAAAAAGGACCGGCUAAUUCCGUGCCAGCAGCCGCGGUAAUACGGAAGGUCCGGGCGUUAUCCGGAUUUAUUGGGUUUAAAGGGAGCGUAGGCUGGAGAUUAAGCGUGUUGUGAAAUGCCGCGGCUCAACCGUGGCACUGCAGCGCGAACUGGUUUCCUUGAGUGCGCUGAAAGUGGGCGGAAUUUGUGGUGUAGCGGUGAGAUGCUUAGAUAUCACGAAGAACUCCGAUUGCGAAGGCAGCUCACUGUAUCGCGACUGACGCUGAGGCUCGAAAGUGCGGGUAUCGAACAGGAUUAGAUACCCUGGGUAGU